AUGUACAUUCUUACAAUAUAGCGAUAAUGCACCAGAUCCCAUUAGAACUUCGAAUCUAAGCACGCUCAAGAUAGAGUAGUACAGGGAUGGGUGACCUCCUGGAAAGUCCUAUUAUUUUACAUG
rfam:Picea glauca, whole genome shotgun sequence.